rnacentral:rRNA from 1 species
GACGAACGCUGGCGGCGUGCUUAACACAUGCAAGUCGAACGGAAAGGCCCUGCUUUUGUGGGGUGCUCGAGUGGCGAACGGGUGAGUAACACGUGAGUAACCUGCCCUUGACUUUGGGAUGACUUCAGGAAACUGGGGCUAACACCGGAUAGGAGCUCCUGCUGCAUGGUGGGGGUUGGAAAGUUUCGGCGGUUGGGGAUGGACUCGCGGCUUAUCAGCUUGUUGGUGGGGUAGUGGCUUACCAAGGCUUUGACGGGUAGCCGGCCUGAGAGAGUGACCGGCCACAUUGGGACUGAGAUACGGCCCAGACUCCUACGGGAGGCAGCAGUGGGGGAUAUUGCACAAUGGGCGGAAGCCUGAUGCAGCAACGCCGCGUGCGGGAUGACGGCCUUCGGGUUGUAAACCGCUUUCGCCUGUGACGAAGCGUGAGUGACGGUAAUGGGUAGAGAAGCACCGGCUAACUACGUGCCAGCAGCCGCGGUGAUACGUAGGGUGCGAGCGUUGUCCGGAUUUAUUGGGCGUAAAGGGCUCGUAGGUGGUUGAUCGCGUCGGAAGUGUAAUCUUGGGGCUUAACCCUGAGCGUGCUUUCGAUACGGGUUGACUUGAGGAAGGUAGGGGAGAAUGGAAUUCCUGGUGGAGCGGUGGAAUGCGCAGAUAUCAGGAGGAACACCAGUGGCGAAGGCGGUUCUCUGGGCCUUUCCUGACGCUGAGGAGCGAAAGCGUGGGGAGCGAACAGGCUUAGAUACCCCGGUAGUCCACGCUGUAAACGGUGGGUACUAGGUGUGGGGUCCAUUCCACGGGUUCCGUGCCGUAGCUAACGCUUUAAGUACCCCGCCUGGGGAGUACGGCCGCAAGGCUAAAACUCAAAGGAAUUGACGGGGCCCCGCACAAGCGGCGGAGCAUGCGGAUUAAUUCGAUGCAACGCGUAGAACCUUACCUGGGUUUGACAUGGAUCGGGAGUGCUCAGAGAUGGGUGUGCCUCUUUUGGGGUCGGUUCACAGGUGGUGCAUGCCUGUCGUCAGCUCGUGUCGUGAGAUGUUGGGUUAAGUCCCGCAACGAGCGCAACCCUUGUUCACUGUUGCCAGCACGUUAUGGUGGGGACUCAGUGGAGACCGCCGGGGUCAACUCGGAGGAAGGUGGGGAUGACGUCAAGUCAUCAUGCCCCUUAUGUCCAGGGCUUCACGCAUGCUACAAUGGCUGGUACAGAGAGUGGCGAGCCUGUGAGGGUGAGCGAAUCUCGGAAAGCCGGUCUCAGUUCGGAUUGGGGUCUGCAACUCGACCUCAUGAAGUCGGAGUCGCUAGUAAUCGCAGAUCAGCAACGCUGCGGUGAAUACGUUCCCGGGGC